CCAGAGAAUACAUUCCACUGCAGCAGGGACCAUACUGGACUUUGGUAUAGUAUCUUCAACACUUGGCACAGUGCCUGGCAUAUGGAUUCCCUGUCCAAUUAGACGCCCGGACCCCUGCUGCCCCUCAGCUCCCUGUGAGCCCUGUCCAGGUUAAAUGACCCACGUAAGCCCAUAGAUAUUUGGUGGAGAACUAAGAUGACAAUGCCUGACUUACGUUCCCC